UAGCAAUACAUCAGCGGCAGACGGGAGAGUAACACGUGGGAACGCGCCCUUCGGUUCGGAAUAACUCAGGGAAACUUGAGCUAAUACCGGAUACGCCCUAACGGGGAAAGAUUUAUUGCCGAAGGAACGGCCCGCGUCGGAUUAGCUAGUUGGUGAGGUAAUGGCUCACCAAGGCGACGAUCCGUAGCUGGUCUGAGAGGAUGACCAGCCUCACUGGGACUGAGACACGGCCCAGACUCCUACGGGAGGCAGCAGUGGGGAAUAUUGGACAAUGGGCGCAAGCCUGAUCCAGCCAUGCCGCGUGGGUGAUGAAGGCCCUAGGGUUGUAAAGCCCUUUCGGCGGGGAAGAUAAUGACGGUACCCGCAGAAGAAGCCCCGGCUAACUUCGUGCCAGCAGCCGCGGUAAUACGAAGGGGGCUAGCGUUGCUCGGAAUUACUGGGCGUAAAGCGCACGUAGGCGGUUUCUUAAGUCGGGGGUGAAAUCCUGGAGCUCAACUCCAGAACUGCCUUCGAUACUGGGAAACUUGAGUUCGGGAGAGGUGAGUGGAACUGCGAGUGUAGAGGUGAAAUUCGUAGAUAUUCGCAAGAACACCAGUGGCGAAGGCGGCUCACUGGCCCGAUACUGACG
rnacentral:rRNA from 1 species